rnacentral:lncRNA from 1 species
UAGCUUUACACUUGGGGGGUGUACUUGUGUCGGGUUUGGCCCAAUGUGCUACCCAACCCAAUCAAAUUCCACCAGUUCAAAUAAGCAACAAAUCCAUAAUUUUUCUAUCAAACUCAAACCAAUCCAAACAAUUAUGAGUAAGAUAGUUCAGAUGGGUCAUCAAGUCAUAAGAAAUUAUAUAUAAAAUGCUAAAAAAACUAUUUAUAUAAUUUGAUAAC